rnacentral:rRNA from 1 species
CCUACGGGAGGCAGCAGUGGGGAAUCUUGCGCAAUGGGCGAAAGCCUGACGCAGCCAUGCCGCGUGAAUGAUGAAGGUCUUAGGAUUGUAAAAUUCUUUCACCGGGGACGAUAAUGACGGUACCCGGAGAAGAAGCCCCGGCUAACUUCGUGCCAGCAGCCGCGGUAAUACGAAGGGGGCUAGCGUUGCUCGGAAUUACUGGGCGUAAAGGGAGCGUAGGCGGAUAGUUUAGUCAGAGGUGAAAGCCCAGGGCUCAACCUUGGAAUUGCCUUUGAUACUGGCUAUCUUGAGUGUGGGAGAGGUUAGCGGAACUCCGAGUGUAGAGGUGAAAUUCGUAGAUAUUCGGAAGAACACCAGUGGCGAAGGCGGCUAACUGGCCCAUUACUGACGCUGAGGCUCGAAAGCGUGGGGAGCAAACAGGAUUAGAUACCCUGGUAGUCCACGCCGUAAACGAUGAGUGCUAGUUGUCGGCAUGCAUGCAUGUCGGUGACGCAGCUAACGCAUUAAGCACUCCGCCUGGGGAGUACGGUCGCAAGNUUAAAACUCAAAAGGAAUUGAACCGGNUGAGACGUGCGAGACGACGACGAGGGAGAGG